GGAGAAAAAGUUCCCAAAGAAACCUCUGAUGGAGAAUUCCCUGCGGGGAACAACCUCUUCGGAAGAAGCUCCCCGCCUUCCGGGGCCAACUUGCUGCAAAGCUUCCUUGCUUUCUGCCAUCCCCCGCGGUGACUGGACAAGUGCCUGAGAUCAACGGACCUACUGCAAACCUCGCUGGACCCACGGUGGUGACUCACUCUCUCUCUUGCUCUCUACAAAGACUCCUUGCUUUUAUUUCCUAUCUCUUUUCUAUCGUCCGUCUUCCCCUCCCCACAUCCCUAAGCUGGUCGGGCUACUAACUGGUCCAGUUAGCCUAACUGGCCGGGCUAACAUUUGACCCGUUGUGACUUAAUCUCACCAUCGGGUAUACAUGUAUUAAAAGAACUUCUUCUCCCUCCUAUAAAUUGGAGCGAGACGCUCCUGAGUCACUGCUAAGCUGAGAAAAAGUUUCAGCCAGAUUCUACCCCAGCUUGCAAAAUGAGAGGAAAACAAAGAGAAAAAUUACAGGAAAUGGAAGGAAAACCUGUUGGACAUGGGAAAAGCAAAGCUGUACAUAGUACAGAAUAAACAGAAUGGAAAGCUGCAGCAUCAUGAAAGUGAUUUCCUCCGCUGCAAUCCGAGGCUUUCUGCAAGGAGAAAACUUGACAAAGCCCACCCCAGUAGCCAGGUAUCCUGGGCCAGCCUCCCCGCCAGCCAGUUCAGUGCCACCUGAAGUGGUGAGGACACCAGAAAGCACCAUCCGCCAAGCACAAUGAAGACCUCAAGGUAUGCAUCUACACAAAAGACCAUCUGCAAAACCCAGAAACAAAAAUAUCAUCCACAGUGAAGUUGGACCCAGGACACUCGGAGCUGGAUUCCAGUCUCCAUGGAGCUGCCCGUUUGGAAAGCACAAUGGGAUUAGAACUGAGACCACUGUUGUAUCAACAGUCAUCUCCUUGAACUAACCAAAUGAGGUGCAGCUGGCAGCUCUUCUCCUCUGCAGCCAGCUCUGCUGCAUCUCUCUUAGGAGCUCUCUUGGACCCAGCCUCUCUACAGUAUGUUUGACUCCAGCACAAUGAUGCCACUGAAGUUUUACAGCCUUAUUGGAAAAAAAUCCAUUGUUUGCUACUAGCUUUUAUUUAGCUGGAAAACAGAUUUAGGAAGCAGACAUAUUUGUCUGGCUCAACAUGCUAUGUAAGUGUGCAGGCAAGAGGGUGAAAACUCGUUAGUAUGAAACAUAAUGUGCAUCAUUUAAAGUCCUGUGGGAUAAAUCUCUCUAUUUCUUGCCAUAAGAGUAUAGGUGGUCUAAGUUAGAAUAUCUAUAAAAAUGUUUAUUUUCUUUUUUUAGCUGGCUGUUUUUUUACUGUGACCAAGCAGAAAAAAAAAAAAAAAGAAAAAGAAAAAGAAAAAAGAAAAAAAAAAGGCUGCAAAAUCAUCCUUUCUUACAGAAGUGUGACCAGAUUAAGCUAUUUCCUGUUAUGAUACACUCCCCCUGGCACCGGGACAGGUUUACAUCUGUAUUUCUGCUUUUGAGAGAGCCGUUGCUCUUGGUAAGAAUACAUAGAAGUGUCUGUUAUCCUGGGAAUGCACAAACAACUUUUGUUGAAAUCAGUACCACCAAAAGCAGUUCCAUCUCAUUGCCUGUUUUAAUAAAUAUUUUCUACAUUUUCUUCCCGAGAUUCUUUUCUCCUCCUCCUUUCUUCCUUCCUUCCCUCCUUCCCUACUUCCUUCCUUCCUUUUCUCUUUUUUUUUUUCCUGUUUUAGUAACUGUGAGGCUCAGUUGUCCAAAAGGCCUAUUUAUAACUUUCUUGUGAACACAGGUGAACCAGAGCCAAUUCUUGCCCUGCAGCUAUGUGAAAAGCAGGGAAAAGCUAAUUUCAAAAUUAAAUCACCUGAGACAGCCUCAUUUUGCCAGUUUAGCUAACUAUUCCAUGAGCUUGAGCAAUUUGUGUAACUCAGUAUUCGGAAGUCUCUGUUCAAACCAACUCUUCUAUAGACAUAGCUAAUAGUUUUUCAAAAUAAUUCUAUCUAAAUGAAUAGUUCUGUUAAGGAUUUCCCAAUAUACAACUUCGAAGGAGCUCCUAAGAAGUAGCUCUGUAUACCCACAACAAACAUGAAGACUGCCUUGGCGACAGUUGCCUGUAAGUUUUGCUUGAACACAUAGUAACAGCUGAAUUGAGAGGAUACUUUAUAGAGUGAACAGUAACCUUUAAAUGACAGAAAGGUUGACCCAAAAUCAAUGUAAGGGUCCACAUGCUGCAGGUGGAAAUAGAACGCUUUUGUAACUCUUCUGAUGUUACAGUGUCCUGAAAAUGCGGAACAAAUACACAAUUACCCCCAAUGCUACUGCUUCUGAAAAGCAAUCAUGAACAACGUUUUACGAUAGCAAACAGCAGGUAAACAACAAUAGAGAAAUUUAAGGGAACAACCUGAAACAUUGAUCCUGCGAGCCAAAAGGUCCACUUAGUUGGAAAGAAGACUUCUGUAAUCUUUCCAGAAGAGGAAAAGGGCAUGAGAUGUAAAUAGUUGUGGUUACACGCACUCAUCUCUUAGGAGAAGAACCGAUUCUUAAAGAAGUCACACCAAGAAGUAAAGAUGUAUUUGCAGAAAGAACUCACAAGACUUUACCUUUCCAGACGCAACUUCUUUUCUUUACUCUGCCCAGCAUUUCCAGUUUCCAGUUUUCUUCUCUGAGCUGAUGUUAUUCUUCCAAAAGGGACUGAUGUGCUGCUUUGUCUAGUUGUGAAGAGUGUGUAUAGCAGGUAACACAAUCUGCUUCCUGGACAGAUUUUCUUCUAUAUAAAAUGCCUGCUGAGAGGAUGAUUACUAAAACCUUCAUACCAAACUAUCACAUGUUAGCAGAACUUAACUGAUAUUUUUAGGGCUCCCUUAAAACACUUCAAGGUGCGUUUAAAUGUUAAGAAGCUUCAGCAAACUAAAUACAGGUGAGUCUUGCAAUACACUGCUCUUUAAGUGGAAACAUUUAGCUUCCCAACAACAACAACAACAACAAAAAAGACACUUGUUUCACUCUCCAACACACAUGCAUAAUUGCACCUUGAGGAAAAACACCAAACUGCCGCCACAGAAAUGAUGAUAUAUAUCUUGAUUUUUCAGUUCUUUCAGACCAGUAGGCAAAGAAGAUGGCUUUAAAAAAAGAAAAAGUUGAAAAGUUUUCUUGACGUUGCACAGGAUUUUUGGUUAAAUGUUUUUUUCAACAGAUAUCACUUGUUUCCUAUGAUGAUGCUAUUCAUAAGUGAGAAUUUUAGCCAGCACUUCAGUUCAGACACAUCAUGGCUCAGAUCUACAAUUUUUAGUAUCUGUGGGUUCUGUGAACAACUCUCAGAUGACUCAGAAAGCAUUUCAAAGCUUAGGAACAGGAAGAUCAAGGUUCACUGCAGCUAUGAAACUGGAGUAGAGGAUCGGUUUUGUUUUAAGCCAGUGUAGAUUUGAUGUAAAUCUGUGUCACCAAGAGGGAGAAAUUCUCAGUGAUUUGCUACAGCUCUGUUUAACUGGUAACAUUCACUCCUGGCAGCAUUCCCUAGAGGUGUUCAGCCAUCAUUAUCCACCUUUUUGCUUGCUUUUCCUCAUCUACAAUUACAGUUGUAUAUUUUCAGUCAAAGACAAGAGGCACUUUUCCUUCAGAAUCCCAUAAGAAUUUUUGCUGUUUUACUCAUUCCAUUCCUCAGAAGUUCAGCAGACAGACGGUGGGGACUGCUUCUGGUAUCUUGGCCUCCUGACAGCCCUAAUAAGCAUUUUUUUUUUUCCAGGAAUUUUCUUAGUAUUUCUAGGAAUACCAAGAUUCUUCUAGAUAUUGGCAGCACUCUUGAGAAGGAGACUCCAGGAUUUUUUGUAGGAGACUCACAUACGCCUUCUCCCCCCAUGUCUUGUCCCUCGAGUAUCCCAAUACAUGGGCAAAAAGGAAGCAAACAUGCCUCAGGUUCCAUGGCAAACCCAGAAGAUUUUGAAACUGGAAGCCUGCACUUAGUCUGUUGAAAUCAGCAAGACAACAUUUUUCACGUUUCUGUUCUGUGGAUAGCUUAGCAAUUAUGUUUUACUGCAGUUUGCAAUUUAAACAAAAUUGCUGAUUUUCAAA